rnacentral:rRNA from 1 species
AUACGGAGGGUGCAAGCGUUGUUCGGAAUCACUGGGCGUAAAGGGCGCGCAGGCGGUUUGGUAAGUCAGAUGUGGAAGCCCACGGCUCAACCGUGGAAGUGCAUUUGAAACUGCCAGACUUGAGUACCAGAGGGGAAAGUGGAAUUCCCGGUGUAGAGGUGAAAUUCGUAGAUAUCGGGAGGAAUACCGGUGGCGAAGGCGACUUUCUGGCUGGAUACUGACGCUGAGGCGCGAAAGCGUGGGGAGCAAACAGGAUUAGAAACCCUUGUAGUCC